UACGAAGGGGGCUAGCGUUGUUCGGAAUUACUGGGCGUAAAGCGCACGUAGGCGGACAUUUUAAGUCAGGGGUGAAAUCCCAGAGCUCAACUCUGGAACUGCCUUUGAUACUGGGUGUCUUGAGUAUGGAAGAGGUGAGUGGAAUUCCGAGUGUAGAGGUGAAAUUCGUAGAUAUUCGCAAGAACACCAGUGGCGAAGGCGGCUCACUGGCCCGGUACUGACGCUGAGGUGCGAAAGCGUGGGGAGCAAACAGG
rnacentral:rRNA from 1 species